GAUGAACGCUAGCGGCAGGCCUAACACAUGCAAGUCGAGGGGUAGCAGGAUUAAGCUUGCUUAAUUGCUGACGACCGGCGCACGGGUGUGUAACGCGUAUGCAACCUACCUUAUACUGGGGUAUAGCCCGGAGAAAUUCGGAUUAAUCCCCCAUCGUACUAAUGAAUCGCAUGGUUUAUUAGUUAAAGCAUUGCGGUAUAAGAUGGGCAUGAGUCCUAGUAGCUAGAUGGUGAGGUAACGGCUCACCAUGGCUACGAUAGGUAGGGGCCUGAGAGGGUGGUCCCCCACACUGGUACUGAGACACGGACCAGACUCCUACGGGAGGCAGCAGUGAGGAAUAUUGGCCAAUGGGCGCAAGCCUGAACCAGCCAUGCCGCGUGCAGGAAGAAUGCCCUAUGGGUUGUAAACUGCUUUUAUUUGGGAAUAAACCUCUUUACGUGUAGAGAGCUGAAGGUACCAAAUGAAUAAGCACCGGCUAACUCCGUGCCAGCCGCCGCAGUAA
rnacentral:rRNA from 1 species